AUUUCAUACUUAAAACAAUAUUCUAUGCAAAAUGCUAUAAUUUCCCCUUGCCUCCAAUUUACACAUGAUAAAACUGAGCCUAGUAAAAUUAAGUAUCAUGCCCCAAAGUUCUCUGCUUAGUAAGAAGUAGAGGCAAGCCCAAACCUAAGUCAUCUGAUUUCAGAGCCCAUACAGUUAAAUGCUCUAAAUGCAGCUUCCCGUGAUGAUGGUGACUAUGAGAGCCUGUCACAUAUGAUGUAGGACAGUGCUUCCCUGUAACAUGCACAAGAUUCCCGUGAUGAUGGUGAUUAUGAGAGCCUGUCACCUACGAUGUAGGACAGUCCUUCCCUGUAACAUGCACAAGAUUCCUGUGAUGAUGGUGACUAUGAGAGCCUGUCACAUAUGAUGUAGGACAGUGCUUCCCUGUAACAUGCACAAGAUUCCCGUGAUGAUGGUGACUCUGAGACCCUGUCACCUACGAUGUAGGACAGUGCUUCCCUGUAACCUUCCCUGUAACAUGCACAAGAUUCCUGUGAUGAUGGUGACUAUGAGAGCCUGUCACAUAUGAUGUAGGACAGUGCUUCCCUGUAACGUGCAAGAUUCCCUUGAUGAUGGUGACUAUGAGAGUCUGUCACAUACGAUGUAGGACAGUGGUUCCCUGUAACAUGCACAAGAUUCCCGUGAUGACGGUGACUAUGAGAGCCUGUCAGAUACGAUGUAGGACAGUGCUUCCCUGUAACAUGUGCAAGAUUCCCGUGAUGAUGGUGACUAUGAGAGCCUGUCACAUAUGAUGUAGGACAGUGCUUCCCUGUAACAUGUGCAAGAUUCCCAUGAUGAUGGUGACUAUGAGAGCCUGUCACAUAGGAUGUAGGACAGUGCUUCCCUGUAACAUGCACAAGAUUCACCCAGGGAUCUCUUUAAAAUGCAAAACCAUAGACCACACUUUGACUGGCUUGGAUAAGGGGUCAGAGCAUCGAAAUGAGUGUGUAGGUGACUGUGCUAAAAUUCUCCUGCUCAUGUGGGCACUGGCUCAUGAUAUUAACAAAGCUUAGGACCUCUAGUCCUUUCUGGAAAGAAAAUACACAUACAUAGCAUGUGACUGUGCAUAUGGAAUAUCUGUUGUGUUCUGGACAUUGUGCUGGACAACAGAGAUAAGAAGUCAAAUAUCCCUUGUCUCUAUCUGAAAGGAGCUUCC
rnacentral:lncRNA from 1 species